UGUCAUAAGUUGAUUGAUAGUAAAAUGUGAAGCACACAUCUGUUGAUUAGCAGUAUGGAUGGUAAAACAAGAAACAACAACAAAUGUUUUAAAGACUAUAUAUAUGUGGCAACCUGUGAUCAGCGGUCACCUGUCUUAAGCGGCCACUUUUAUCUACUCCCUUGUGUGGCUGCUUAAGACAGGUUUGACUGUACAUUUAGAUAAUAUUCUCUACCCAGGUAAAUAUUGUAAAAUAUAUCUUUUAUUGCUUUACAGUCUUCAAAACAAGUCAUGACAAUGUCAUUAUGUUAAAGGUAACUACUUACCGGUAUAUGCUACACACUGAGAAAAUGUAUCAGAGAGUUGACUGUUAUUAAAGAUGUCUGUGAAUGAUUUUAUUACAGCUUGCAUACAGUAGACAACCACAGUAUGUGCCACCUGGUCCUCUUCAUCAAGGUCAUAUGCCUCAAGGUCAAGGACAGAUUGCUUCAGGUCCAGUGAUGCCUCCCCCAGAAGGUUAUUCACAGAGUGCUAGUCAACCAUACUCCAGCAUGCCGAACCAAGUGGCGCCCACAGUGUACCAGUCGUUACCACCAGAUGCCGGGACGAUGCCGGGUGCUGCCCCACCCAUGCCCAGUGGAGGGGCUCCCCCAGCGAACCAGCCAGACUACACUGUGAACAGUAAUCAGAACUUUAACCAUGUACCGCAGAUGUACCAGCCUCUGCCCCCACAGCAGCCAUUACUGUGAACAUGACGGGCUGUGCUAUUUCUACUCGCCAUUCGAUAAGGGUGUAUGUUCUCUUGCUGUGUUGGAGUGGGUAUGUCUAGGAACAAAGUGCAGUUCAAGGGCUUUUUGUCUUUCGGAAUAUGUAUUGUUUUGUCUUAUUACAAUCAUUUUUUUAGUUUUUGUUAAUGUGAAUACACAUUGGAAUUGAUUGAGCAAGCAUUUAUGGAAAGCAAUGUGAUAUUAACAGUUAAUAAUAUUCUUUCCAAAGGCCACUUCUCAUUUAUUUUCUGUUAUGUUAAAUGGUUGUUGUUUUUGUGGAAAUGUAUCUUUUGGGGGGGUUUUCCGACAGAUUUUUCUCUUCUUUUUUUCUAAUUACCUUUUGUAAUUUUGUUUGUCAGAAGACGAAAAAAAAUCCACUUCUCCACUAAGACAAUGUUAUACCAGAUGGAUUGUAAUGUGAUUAAAAAAUUAUGGAAUCUAAAUUUAUUGAUUUUAUGGUAUUCAGUCUGUUUUGUUAUUACAUAAAUUAGUUUGUGUUUGUUUUAUAUUAUUUAUUUUUUAUUUUAUAUAAAAGUACAUUCGUUCAAUGAAAAAAUAUUUUAAAUUAGUUUUAAUUUGAUCAACUUUCCCUUUGAAGAAACAAUGAUAGUCACAUAUUUUCUCUAAGCCACCCGGGCUCCUGGAUUAUAUUACAAAGCAUGUGGUGGGGUGACAAUAAAACCAUAUCUGUCUGAUUAUAUAUAACAAUUUACUUCACAAUGUAUGUUAAAUGAACAUUAAAAAAACAUGCUUGCAGUUGUCUUGCAGCUGACCUGACUUGCAGCUGCAGUGAUUAGACCCACAUCUGUUUUGCAUUAGUGUUACAGGAAUAAAAUCUAAUAUUACUAUAAAGAGUCCAUCUGAUAAAGUUUAAUCAGUGGUUAGCUUUUAGAUGAAAACUGUUGAUUUGCAGGAGAGAUGUAUAUAACCUGCAUGGUGACAAUGAGGUUAACCUCCUUUCCUCUCCCUCUCUCUUCCCUCAUUCUCUCUAUCAUUCUUUGUCCCUCUCUCUCUGUCUCUCCUUUCGUAACCGGGUAAAACGUUCUGCAGCCCCUGCCACAUAUUAGUUUUUGAUGUUACAUCUUAGUCAUAGAAUCUGAUGUACUAUCAAAGAUGAAUUGUAAUGUUUCUUAUGGGUCAUUCACAAUUGUCAAUAUUUUCAAAAACAUAUGAUGCAUACCUUUUUUUUUACUACCCCUCCAUACUUUUGUUUUUACUACCCCCUCCUGCCGUACAUCAAAUAUGUUUAUUUUGCAGGGUAUAUAUAUAUUUUUUUGUUAAAAAGCACAAGCUGCUGUGUAAAAAUGUUGAUCAUAGUAACUGGCUCCAUAAAUGUAACUGUUUUUAUUGUUUGGAAAAUGUUACGAGUUGGAUACAUUUUAAAGAUAAAUGGUAUCUCAAAGAAAUGUAUCUUACAGAUUCUCUAAAAUCGGCUUUAGUACAAAUUUAAGCAUAUUUUCCAGCUAAAAUUUAUUUAUGGUGCUUGUCGUUAACUUAUGGUUCAGAGCUAUCAGUUUUGAUCUGGCCUAUUUCAAACUGAAAUGAGGCUUAUUGAACUAUUUCUAUAUAAGCCAUGCAGCACUUCAAAUCUCCAGACAUGUGUUACAUUAAAGAGACUGUCCCGAGUUUUCAGCCAGUGUAACAUAUUCCUGACUACUGGAACUGUAGUACACUAAAAUUACAUCCUGAAUACUGUUUCUUGUUUAGAAUAUCAGAAUUUGUAGAUUCAAUAUAUUUUCAGUCCUAAUGUUUAGAGUAACCCAAAUUGGAUUUUACCUUUAAGUAUUAUUUCGUAAGUAUGAAAAAAUAUAUUUUAAGAAAUAAAAUCCAGUUUGAGCUACUACAAACAUUAGGAUAAGCAGAAAACAUCGUUUUAUACAGAACUGAUAUUCUAAACAAGAACUUCAUUAAUCCCCUACCGACCAAACCGGAGGGACUAUAGGUUUCGCCUCCAUCCGUCUGUCUGUCUUUCUGUCCCACAUAUAGUUUUCAGGACUUUUUCUGCAAUUUGUGUAUAGCUUUUUCAAAUACUGGUACCAAUCAUGUUUGAAUUUCAUGGCGAUAUGCACAUUUUUGGCAGAGUUAUGGCCCUUGAACUUGCCAAAUUCAAAAUGUUUUUGGGUCAGGUAGGGGACAUGUAUUGCUGUAGCAGUAUUCUCAGAAUGCUUGUUUAAUGUAAAAUGUUAUUUUCUAGCAAAGCUCAGUCAGUGAGGAUCAUCUUACAGUAGUACUAGUAGUAGUAGCAAACUCACAACACUCUCUUUACGCCAUUCUGUGGUGACUGUCAGUUUUUAUCUCUGAACAUCUGUCAACUUCUUAGAUUACCAGACAACCAAAGCGAUCAAGAGAAAACUGAUUUAUUUUUUCUAACUGCAACAAUAUAUAAAAGAUGCCUGUAUGCAAAUUAAGUUGGUCUGACCAGUUAGCACUACCUUCCAUGAUGUUAAUAAUUAAACUUAUCAUCAGUCUUUUAUCUCAGCAAGGAACCUGUUGACUUCAGGCAGAAUUCAAUCUCGGUUAAUUCUGUUUCAACAUUAAUAUUUAAUACAUUUUUUAAUGAAUGAUGAUCGCACUUCUGUUUGAAGAAAUGUAUAUAUAAAUCUUUAGUUAAAAAUUAGUUUUUGUAUAUAUUAUUUUAACUACAUGCAUCAUCCCAUGUAUGUUCAUGUAGGUGUAUAUUUAACAUGAAUGAAUGCAAUAUGUUGAUAUAUGUGUAUUUAUCUUAAUACUUGUACUAUUUGUAAUAUUUAAUAUGUUUUGUCUGUUAUGAUUCUUUUUUUCACUGUUCAGUUUGUAAUAAUAUUAAUUACUCUGGCUGUAUUUGUAGACGGGUUUAUAAUAUAAACAUUGUUCAGAAUCUGUAGUGCAGAUUUUCACAAUCAUUUAAUCAAAAUAAAUAAAUAAUAAUGAACACAUUUUUCUUAGGUGUCUCACCAGAGUUUAUUUUACAUAGCUGAGCGUACAAACAUUAGCCUAGAAGUAUUAAUUAAACUAGAAACACAGUGUUUAUUAUGAUUUUUUGUCUUGAAAGAAGAUAAUAGGCCAUGUGAUGUAGUUUAACAAAUUCAACACCUAUAGUCUGAAAUAUGACUUUGAGAGGUCCAAGAAAGGGAAACAACUUUUAAGAAAUCUCUGUCUGUAGGGGCAACACACUUUUUAGCUACAGGGGCCAUUGUGAAUUUUUAUUUCAAAUGAACAUUUUGAUUAAUAUAAAUCUGCUUAUGAGCGUAUUGGUUGGUAAAUCCACUUUUAUGUAUAUAUUUGUCUGUUACUUGAAUAUUCUGUGUAAGAGCUACAGUCCAGGCAGUGUGUUUAGCUGUCACCUGUAUUAAGCAGCCACCUGUGUUUAUUUGACAGGUUUUACACUGCAAGAAUGUUACAUACAUGUAGGGCAAGCCUAGAUGGAAAGGCACAAAGAGCAUUUACUAACUAGUACCUUCACUUCAUGGUGAUAAAAGAGAAUUUGACCUAUGUAUACUAGGACACAAAUCACAGAUCUUUUAAAGAAUGAUUUCUCAAAACACCCCUGCGUUAGAUUGUUGGAAUUGUUCUAAUGGAAUAUUUUAACAUUUAUUUCCACUGACAUUAUUUUGCUAUUCAGAAAGCAUUAAAUCUAUAAUCAACAACAGUUACUGUUAAUUUCUAUCACUCUUAAAUUAGCAUUUUUAUUUUGUUUCAGUUAUUGUUAUAUUUACAUUCAUCUUAUUAAUCUUUGUAUGCAGUGUUUUAUCACAUUAUCUAACAAAAUGGCAUACUUAGUUUUGCCACAUUGAACAAUAAGUAAAACACAUCUUAACGUUUGAUAUAUUUUAUUUGGUUUAGGGAACUUUUACUAAACUUGUUGACAUAUUAAUGGUGAAAUUUUAAGUAUACUGAAUGAGUUGGAAUAAAACAUUGUUGGUAGUAUAGUUGCAGCUACAUGUACAUGUAAGCACAGCUACAUGUAAGAUAUCUUAUCCCAGCUUUCAAAGGUGAUAUUGUUUAGUAGUAGUUGUAGAUUCAUAAUUAGAUUGUAAAUACCAUUAACCAUUUUCAUACACAAAUAUCUAAAGUUAUUUGUGUUUACUGUGCUGCAAUAAAUAUUUUAUCAAAACAUUGAAAGCAUUUUUUGCUUUGAAAAUCCAUAUUUAUCUAGUGUUUGUGAACUUUUUAAAAAUGCAUAUUUCAUUUCAUUUUAAUGUAUUUAAAAAAUACAGUUACUGUUGUAUUAUAUGUGGCUUAUAGUUAAGCACAUUGACAUAAUAAUGGAUAUUUUUCUGGGUUCGUUUGUCAGAAGCAUGCUAUAGAUUAUGUUUAAAAUAUGAUUUUAAGAAAUUUAAAAAAUAUGAAACAGUUAUUAAGGUUACUAAAGUGUUGUGUAUAAUUUUGUUUGUAAUGUUACAGAACCCAUCUUGUCAGUAGAUUAACAGCCAGAUUUUUUCUAUAUUAGUUAAGCAAAAUAGUUAUUUGGUAAUACGUAUUUUCACCUAACAGUAGUUUUAAUAAUUGUUCUCCAGAUUUUGUAUAACUAGACAAACACAGAAUUUCUUUCCAUUGUCAGCCCUGGUCUCACCAGUAUUCAUUUAGAUCAGUAAAUGAAAGAAUGAAUGAACGAACGAACGAAUUAAUUAAUGAAUGAAUGUUUAAUGACACCCCAGCACACAAAUACACAUCAGCUAUUGGGUGUCAUUUAGAUCAGAGUUGUUUUAUGCUUAAAGAUAUGGUGAUAAUUUAUUAAUGGUUGUGUUUUAUAACAGGCUUUAUCAACUCUUUAAAGCCCAGUGUACUCAAAUGAGUGCAUACUUUAUAAGCACAAACACUAUUUGCAAAAAUGAAAUAUUUCUAAUGAAUAAAUACUGAGGAUUUCCAUAUAUGUCUAAUUAUCCUCAAAAUGAGUACAAUUUACUUGAAUGAUUAAACUUAUAUUUGAACAGAGCCAAACAUUUAAAUGUGUACUCGUUUGAGUACAAUAGGCACCUACGGCAACAUGUUUAUCUUGUAGUCUUUUCUCUGCGCUUACAGAUCUGCUACAUUGUUCUAAUGGUGUGUUAAAUGAAUUUGAUAUGUUUUUUCUUUGAUUGCAACAAAUAUUUUUAAAAUCUGAUGUAAUAAUUACUUUUGUACUCAUACAAGUACAGCCCGAUGUACUCAUAUGAGUACAUUUAAAAACAAAUAAAAAAUAAAUAUUUAUUUCAAAUAUACUCAAAUGAUGCUAUGUUUAUUCACAAACCAAUAUUUUAUCUGAAUUCAUGCUAGUUUUGUCACGGGCAUUAAAGGGUUAACAAAAAAAUAAACACAUUUAAUAUGUGUAUGAUGGGGUGGAAUGUGAUUGAGAGAUAAGGCACCAGAUUCACUGGUGUGAUGCUUAAGCCAUUGACUCUUAAGGCUGGUAGAUGCUAGAAUUCAAUCUCCAUGCCAGAGGUGUAAAAUCACUAUACCAACUUCUCUCACCAAAAACAACCAUUAACGUCUGUUCUUAACAUUCAUUCAUUCAGUUAUUUUUGUACUUGUAUCCAAUUAAGGUUCAAGCAUGCUGUCCAGUCCAGGACAGUGAGUUGGUGGUUAGUCAAGAGGAGGGUGUAGUGUCCUUACACCUACCCAUUGAGUCAUUAAACUCGCUCUGGGUGGGAGGCGAACCUAACAGCCAGGCAUGUGUCCAAUGGCUUAACCACUACACCACCGAGGCUAGUAUGUUUUCCACAGACACGCCAGGUGGCUGAGAUGGGUGUCCAGGACGGUGAGCUUGUAUUCACUUGAAUCGAAGUGCAGGCGUGUCGGAUUAACAGCCAGUGUACUUGCUCCAGUAGCUGUUGUCCAGGACACAUGCUUAUAAAACUUUAGAGUCUAGAUUCAAAUCUCUUAUUACAUCACACACAUAAAAUGUGUAUAGAGUGCCAUGGUGUUGUUGAGUCUAGACUCUGAGGGGAAGUGUUAAAAGCACCAGCCGUGAUAAUUUGGUGGUUGAGAUGUACAGUACGCAUUUGUUUAGCCCUUCACCAGACACACCUACCAUGCUCCUGUGUGUGUCACUCUGUAUGUAUACGCUACUAGUGUAUGUAAUUUGCUUCUUUUUUUAUGCUGGGCACCUCAUUUUAAAGGGACCAUCCUGAGUGUAAAGCCAUUGCAAGCUGUUUCCAACUAAUACAGCAUUUUUGGCGACUAAAAUUACAUAUUAAAUACAUUUACUUGUUCAGAAUACCAGUGUCUGUUUACACACGUGUAAAACAUAAAGAAGCUUUGUAAAUUUAGAGCAUUUUGUUUAGUGCAGCUGAGGAAAUGUUGCUGGACUGAACAAGAGCGGUUUAUUGAAUUGGACCACACCCACCUACAUGUAUUAAUGUGUUGUGUACAAAGGAGUUGAAAGAAGUAGCGAGUCGAGUCCGAUGGUUUUUAUACGUGUAUAUUGUAAUGCAGUAGUGGGUAGCUGGUAGUCUCAUUAUGUUUGCUCAUUACUCCAAGAUCUCUAGUUGUUAUGCAGUAGGAUACUUUUGUUGAUAAUAAAUGUAUAGAAUUCCAAUCAAAUGUUUACCAUUGGUCGCUGCUUGUUUUGCAAAACAGUUGUUUCUACUGGACAGUCACUGAUAUGUGUAAUUGUAAAGUGAAAAAAAAUGUAUUGUACAUAAUCUUGUCAUGAUAAAUAUACAGAACUUUGCACAAGAAUAUAUAACAGUCGAGUGGUUUGUUCUUGUACACAAUAAACUAAUCCGUAAGUAGUAAAUAUGAAGCGAAAAAAAAGAAAGUAUUUUAAGUUCUCUGUUUAUGACAUACCCUCUUCUACUUUUACAAAUAAAGUUUUUAAUUAAAUGUCUGAAGACCCCUGUCCCUCCAAAAGAACAUCUUUUUAAAAGCCAAAUCUUAUAUGACGUAACAAAAAGGGUGCCCUACACUCUAUACCAGCGGUCGCACAAGCGAAUUUUCUUUUGUUAAAAUUUAUUUUUCAGGGUAGCACGUCUUAACCUCCCCUAGAAACUUAGCUUGCCAGUCGGGACACCACCACCCCUGAUAAAUUCUUGGACCUGUGCAUGACCAGCCUUCACUAAAAGUGUUCUUUGUUUUGUUUGUUUUUUGUUUGUUUUUUAAUGACCAAACCUUUAAGACAUAAAUAUAAUACUGAGAUGUGUCUACAAGUGAUCAUUGAGUUCUUACAUUAACUGGUCUUUAUAAGACCUGAAGUUCUCAGAUUCCCAGGUCAAACUUUAAUGUAAACCAGGGCUACUGUCUUUAAGUCAUGUUUUGGGGUGAUUGGAAAAUAUAUAAGUGGUGGGGGUAAACAAAUAAAAAGAAGUGAUUUGGGGGACCAUUGCCCUCGUGACCCACCACUCUGGCCAUGCUUUAAAUAGAAAGAAGUGAUUUUGGGGACCAUUGCCCUCAUGACCCACCACUCUGGCCAUGCUUUAAAUAAAAAGAAGUGAUUUGGGGGACCAUUGCCCUCGUGACCCACCACUCUGGCCAUGCUUUAAAUAGAAAGAAGUGAUUUUGGGGACCAUUGCCCUCGUGACUCACCACUCUGGCCAUGCUUUAAAUAAAAAGAAGUGAUUUGGGGGACCAUUGCCCUCGUGACCCACCACUCUGGCCAUGCUUUAAAAUUCGAAUCUCUAAUGACCUCACAUAUACAAUUUCAUGUCAUUAAAAUCUUUGACUUCAUUAGAGUCGGGAGUGUAGACUUUUAACACUUUUAUAAGUAUGGGGCUAGUACUCUGCUAAAAACCUGCAAUAUGUAAAUAUUUUUUGUCCGACCAUAUAGACUUUAAAUCUGUAAAAAAAACUUCCACACACAACUCGGAUUGUCAUUCCUAUGGUGCAUGCAGCAGGUGUUUUUCAUAUCUCUAUUGCAUUUGUUCUGUUUAUGCAAGGUGUUGCUGGUGAUAUGUAUCUAAGUAGCUUGUUAAUUUAUAACAUUCGAGUGUGAACCUAGAAAGUGAUGCUAAAAGUAAUUUCUUUGUUUCUUGUAGUUCUUGACACCCGUAUCUUUUUUAGGUCGGGCUAUAGAAUUUGAAUGGAUGUAAUUAUUGUAACAACUACCGGCAUAUGUGAAUGUAAAUAUUGUGAUAUCUGGAAAUAAACAAAAUACCAAAA
rnacentral:lncRNA from 1 species